AUCUAGCUGAGUUCCAAAUAAGAGGAAACACGCGUCCUGGAU
rnacentral:hammerhead_ribozyme from 1 species